UGUCCUGGCCAGCGGCGGCGGGGGGAGGAGCGGGGCGGUGUGAGGGGGGGCGCGAGGAGACGAAGCCGCCGCCAUUUUCUCGCGGCCGGGGGAGGCGGCGGCGGCCGCGGGGCUCGCGCUCCUGUGGCGGCUGCCCCGGCGCGCCCUGCCCGCGGCUGCGGGAGCGUCUCCCGUCAGCCGCCAGAGGCUGCGGGGCCCCGGUGCCGCGGUGUUGUCCCUCUCCGCAGCCCCGUCGCGGUGCGAUGUCCCGUGACACCCCCGGGCCAGCGCCGGCACCGGGUGUUUAUCUCGAGUUGGGCCCGUGCCAGCGCCGCGUUUCCUGACGGCGCUUUAAAGCUCCCAGCUCGGCCCUGGGCCGGCCGGGGAAGCGCAGGGAGAGCUCCCCCCGGCGUGGGCAGCGGUCGGCCGGCGCCUUGCAGGCGAACAAAGCGGGCUGAGGCUCGUCCUCCGCUCCUGGCGGCGCUCGGAGCCUCCCGGCAGCUGCGGUGAGGCGUCGGUGUCGCGCUUAAAUUAAGAAACCUGCCAUAAAGGGUUUUAAAUAGAAACCCAGGCUAGCACCCUGUGGUUGGCUUUUCCUUCCCAGCGAGCUGCGCGUCGCUGGCUUGAGUGGAACUUUCCCAAUUUGUGGGAAAUUUGUUUUGAAGGUGUCUUGCGUUUUAGGCAGGUGGAGAAGCUCAGCCUGUAGGUAAAUACAUCAGUGGUUCUAGACGGGGAAGAUGGCACGGGCUGAGUUUAUUUGAAAUUGGAAGGACCCAAAUAAAGAAAGGCCAUGGAAGCUGUUGUGCCCAGCCCAGCCACUGAUUCUGGGAACACCUCAAAGGAAAAGCUCUUUUACUGCGAAAUCCAAUUUUCUUCCUUCCUGACCAGGACAAAGAGCAGAUCUUGAAAGCAAGCUAUUAAAUCCUGGAGUCAGGAAUCAUUAAAGGGACCUUCUUGACCGAAUAUAGAGGUUAUCUAAACAUUUUGGGUUUGGUGGUUGUUUUUGUGUUUUGUUUUUUCCUUUUAAAGACUCAAGCCCAAUGUGUGAUUCCAGGAGGGAAUGUCUCUUCUGGUUGUUUAGUAUUUGACAGUACUUUUGCUGUUCUCUUCACUUGGCUUGCCUGAGCCUUGAAGCUGGAAGUCUGGGAAGAUGCUGUGGGAGCUCUGGAGGGUUAAACUUUCCUUUCAGACACCACCUCUGCCUUUGCAGUGAGGAUUGCACAACUCGCCACCUACCUGAGAGUAGUUUCCUUUGGGUGCAGUCAUCCUUGUUUGAGAGAACAUUGGGCGGGGGAAAACAAGCUGCUGAGCUAAAGAGGGAAGUUUCAGGCUGUUGGAAACAAAACUUCCUG